AUUGAACGCUGGCGGCAUUGCUUUACACAUGCAAGUCGAACGGUAACAGGUCUUCGGAUGCUGACGAGUGGCGAACGGGUGAGUAAUGUAUCGGAACGUGCCCAGUAUGGGGGAUAACUACUCGAAAGAGUGGCUAAUACCGCAUGAGAACUGAGGUUGAAAGCGGGGGACCUUCGGGCCUCGCGCUACUGGAGCGGCCGAUAUCAGAUUAGGUAGUUGGUGGGGUAAAGGCCUACCAAGCCGACGAUCUGUAGCUGGUCUGAGAGGACGACCAGCCACACUGGAACUGAGACACGGUCCAGACUCCUACGGGAGGCAGCAGUGGGGAAUUUUGGACAAUGGGCGAAAGCCUGAUCCAGCAAUGCCGCGUGCAGGACGAAGGCCUUCGGGUUGUAAACUGCUUUUGUACGGAACGAAAAGGUAGCUCCUAAUACGAGCUGCCGAUGACGGUACCGUAAGAAUAAGCACCGGCUAACUACGUG
rnacentral:rRNA from 1 species